UUAUUUUAAUAUUCAUCAAGAUAACAUUAUAUCUAUUGUACUUAAUACCCAAAAACAUGCAAAAACUUACGUGUCUAAUUUUGUUUGUGUUAGCUGUAAUGGCUCAAGCGAAAAAACCCCAAUACGAUCUGGCAAAUGGUUCAGCUCUGUUUGAGAAGUACAUCAAAGACUACAACAAGGAAUACAAGGACGAAGCCGACAAAGAAGUUCACUACCAAGAGUUUCUUAAAUCUCUGAAGGCCAUAAAUGAUUCCAAUGCGGCAGACACUGACGCGACCUUCGAUAUUAAUGAAUUCUCUGACUACACUCCUGAGCAGAGGAAGAAUUUGUUCGGAGCCAGAAUCUUCUAAAGGAAAAUGGUGUGAGGAAUCAAGUCGACGAAAUGAUAACUUCACACAAUAAUAAAUUAUUAUUAGUAUUUUA